GACGAACGCUGGCGGCGUGCUUAACACAUGCAAGUCGAGCGGUAAGGCCCUUUCGGGGGUACACGAGCGGCGAACGGGUGAGUAACACGUGGGUGACCUGCCCUCAGCUCUGGGAUAAGCCUGGGAAACCGGGUCUAAUACUGGAUAUGACUCCAUGACGCAUGUUGUGGAGUGGAAAGCCUUGUGCGGCUGAGGAUGGGCCCGCGGCCUAUCAGCUUGUUGGUGGGGGAUGGCCUACCAAGGCGACGACGGGUAGCCGGCCUGAGAGGGCGACCGGCCACACUGGGACUGAGACACGGCCCAGACUCCUACGGGAGGCAGCAGUGGGGAAUCUUGCGCAAUGGGCGAAAGCCUGACGCAGCGACGCCGCGUGAGGGAUGACGGCCUGGUGU
rnacentral:rRNA from 1 species